UCAAGCAACUACGCGUUAUCAAAGAUUACUCAAAAAGUAGUUAUCAGAUCUCGAUUAAAUUUAUAUGUGACCAUAUGAUAAACAUCAGCUUUCGAUUAAAUUAAAAAUCAUCAUAAUCGGUACACCCAGUAAAAAGUUAUUACGGAUUUUCGAGAGUUUCCCUCGAUUUCUCUGGGAUCCCAUCAUCAGAUCCUGGUUUCCUUAUCACGGUACAAAACUAGGGAUAUCCCCUUUCCAACAAAAAAAGAAUUAUCAAAAUCGGUACAUCCAGUAGAAAGUUAUGCGGUAUAAUACAACGUAGGUAGACGAAAAAAGCGUCAAGUAAAAACGCAUUAUUAGAUAUAACUCGAAAAUUAGUUAUUAGAUCUCAAAUAAAUUUAAAU
rnacentral:misc_RNA from 1 species